GCUUCACAGAUUCCUUUUGUGAAGAAGGGUUUAUCUCUCUAUAAGGACCGGUUUAUGGCAUCACUGCCUUCUUCAAGGCAGGCGAGUGCAGACUUCACCAGACCAGUGUUCACUGCUGUGGCAUUUUACUUAUGUGCAACAAAACAUAAGCUGAAGAUUGACAAGGAUAGGUUGAUUGA